UACGUAGGGGGGCAAGCGUUGUCCGGAUUUAUUGGGCGUAAAGAGCGUGUAGGCGGCUAGAUAGGUCCGUUGUGAAAACUCGAGGCUCAACCUCGAGACGCCGAUGGAAACCAUCCAGCUAGAGUCCGGAAGAGGAGAGUGGAAUUCCCGGUGUAGCGGUGAAAUGCGUAGAUAUUGGGAGGAACACCAGUGGCGAAGGCGGCUACCUGGACCGGUUCUGACGCUGAUGCGCGAAAGCGUGGGUAGCAAACAGG
rnacentral:rRNA from 1 species